rnacentral:tRNA from 1 species
GACUUUAGAAAUCGUGAGGGUCCAAGUCCCUCUAUCCCCAAAA